GUUCUUAUAGCUCAAUUGGUCAGAGCGUUGGUCUUAUGAGCCAAAGGUUGAGAGUUCAAGCCUCUCUAAGAACA
rnacentral:tRNA from 1 species